rnacentral:snRNA from 1 species
GUGUUAGUGUCGUAACACAUAUAGCUAAAAUUGGAAACGAUACAGAGCAAAGAAUUAGCAUGGCCCCUGCGCAAGAUGACAACCGAGAUUCGUAGAAGUACGUUCCUCAAUUUU